AAGGUUUGGCCGUAGGUGAACCUGCGGAAGGAUCAUUACCGAGUGUAGGGUUCCUAGCGAGCCCAACCUCCCACCCGUGUUUACUGUACCUUAGUUGCUUCGGCGGGCCCGCCAUUCAUGGCCGCCGGGGGCUCUCAGCCCCGGGCCCGCGCCCGCCGGAGACACCACGAACUCUGUCUGAUCUAGUGAAGUCUGAGUUGAUUGUAUCGCAAUCAGUUAAAACUUUCAACAAUGGAUCUCUUGGUUCCGGCAUCGAUGAAGAACGCAGCGAAAUGCGAUAACUAGUGUGAAUUGCAGAAUUCCGUGAAUCAUCGAGUCUUUGAACGCACAUUGCGCCCCCUGGUAUUCCGGGGGGCAUGCCUGUCCGAGCGUCAUUGCUGCCCAUCAAGCACGGCUUGUGUGUUGGGUCGUCGUCCCCUCUCCGGGGGGGACGGGCCCCAAAGGCAGCGGCGGCACCGCGUCCGAUCCUCGAGCGUAUGGGGCUUUGUCACCCGCUCUGUAGGCCCGGCCGGCGCUUGCCGAACGCAAAUCAAUCUUUUUCCAGGUUGACCUCGGAUCAGGGUAGGGAUACCC
rnacentral:rRNA from 1 species